rnacentral:rRNA from 1 species
ACGGGUGAGUAACGCGUGGGUAACCUGCCUCACACUGGGGGAUAACAGUUAGAAAUGACUGCUAAUACCGCAUAAGCGCACAGUGCUGCAUGGCACAGUGUGAAAAACUCCGGUGGUAUGAGAUGGACCCGCGUCUGAUUAGCUAGUUGGUGGGGUAACGGCCUACCAAGGCGACGAUCAGUAGCCGGCCUGAGAGGGUGAACGGCCACAUUGGGACUGAGACACGGCCCAAACUCCUACGGGAGGCAGCAUG